rnacentral:rRNA from 1 species
GAUGAACGCUGGCGGCGUGCCUAAUACAUGCAAGUCGAGCGAACGGACGAGAAGCUUGCUUCUCUGAUGUUAGCGGCGGACGGGUGAGUAACACGUGGAUAACCUACCUAUAAGACUGGGAUAAAUUCGGGAAACCGGAGCUAAUACCGGAUAAUAUUUUGAACCGCAUGGUUCAAAAGUGAAAGGCGGUCUUGCUGUCACUUAUAGCUGUAUCCGCUCUGCAUUAGCUAGUUGGUAAGGUAACGGCUUACCAAGGCAACGAUGCAUAGCCGACCUGAGAGGGUGAUCGGCCACACUGGAACUGAGACACGGUCCAGACUCCUACGGGAGGCAGCAGUAGGGAAUCUUCCGCAAUGGGCGAAAGCCUGACGGAGCAACGCCGCGUGAGUGAUGAAGGUCUUCGGAUCGUAAAACUCUGUUAUUAGGGAAGAACAGAUGUGUAAGUAACUGUGCACAUCCUGACGGUACCUAAUCAGAAAGCCACGGCUAACUACGUG